rnacentral:rRNA from 1 species
GACGAACGCUGGCGGCGUGCUUAGCACAUGCAAGUCGAACGGAAAGGCCCUGCUUUUGUGGGGUGCUCGAGUGGCGAACGGGUGAGUAACACGUGAGUAACCUGCCCUUGACUUUGGGAUAACUUCAGGAAACUGGGGCUAAUACCGGAUAGGAGCUCCUGCUGCAUGGUGGGGGUUGGAAAGUUUCGGCGGUUGGGGAUGGACUCGCGGCUUAUCAGCUUGUUGGUGGGGUAGUGGCUUACCAAGGCUUUGACGGGUAGCCGGCCUGAGAGGGUGACCGGCCACAUUGGGACUGAGAUACGGCCCAGACUCCUACGGGAGGCAGCAGUGGGGAAUAUUGCACAAUGGGCGUAAGCCUGAUGCAGCAACGCCGCGUGCGGGAUGACGGCCUUCGGGUUGUAAACCGCUUUCGCCUGUGACGAAGCGUGAGUGACGGUAAUGGGUAAAGAAGCACCGGCUAACUACGUG